GGCGCUCCUGGCGGUCGUGGUUUCCCUGGUGCUGACGGCCCUGCUGGACCCAAAGGCGCCACUGGUGAGCGCGGUGCCCCCGGUGCUGUUGGACCUAAAGGUUCCACUGGUGAGUCUGGCCGCACUGGAGAGCCCGGUCUGCCCGGAGCUAAGGGUAUGACUGGCAGCCCCGGCAGCCCUGGACCUGAUGGCAAGACUGGACCUACUG